UCUAUUGUUCGCGUUAUUCCAGAUCCAUAAUGAAGUUGUUGGUUGUCGUGUUGUGUGUCGCAGCCUUUGUUUCAGGAUUUCAGAUCGUUGAUUCGAGUCCUUUUAAUCUACGUAACCCGUUUAACUGUUAUUACUCAUUUGAUUGUGGAUUUGGUUAUCUGGAAUGCGUUCGCAACUGUAGGAUACACAAGAGAUGUGCUGCAGCAGAAUGCAUAGAAAAUUCAUGGUGUUGCUGUAAGGAGUGUCAUUGAAAGUACCGAAAUAAUAGUUCCACUAAUAAAAUACAUAUUUAGCGUC